GUAAUUGUGGUAGUCGUGGUAGUAGUCGUCGUAGUAGCAGUAUUUCGUAUGUGGCAGAAUCAAGUGGACUGCGUACAGAACCGAUUGUAUAUGGGCAAGGAUAUGGGGGGUAGUUGCAUUAUACAAAUAUUUCACAAUUUUGCAGAAAUUACGAGAGUAUCUGCUGACCGACCGAACAAGAAUUUCACAACAGAAUGAAAGUACCAGAUACUACACACACGCACACAAACGCAAAUAUAUAUUUGAAUAUGUGUUCAUGCGUACAAAAACUGCAGUAAAUUGGUUGGAGGUUAGUGCGGAAGUGGGACAAAUAGAAGCCAAUAACUAACCCCGAAAAUGAGAAUCGUUUAAUAACAUCUGUCAUAUAAUUUAAUAUAUAUUUGGCUAUCCUUGGAAACUUCUCGAAAAUACUCUGAAUACACGGAUAGCCAGAUGGCAUUGUUGACCUUGUCGGCGCCACAGAUUAAGUCCAACGUAAUCAACAAUUGCAGAAAGGCUUUAAGCGCGCAGGCUGAAUGCCGAACUCUAUCACAAACUUUAAAUGCAAUACCUGAAAUCCAUCCAGAAUCGCUGUCAAUAAAAAUCAUAACGGAAUAUAUUAAUAUACUUUAUAUAAAAUGUAGAUAUAAUUUUGUUUAAAUAAAAUACUCUUGUAUUCUAGCGAAC